rnacentral:rRNA from 1 species
AGUGAACGCUGGCGGUAGGCCUAACACAUGCAAGUCGAACGGCAGCACAGUAAGAGCUUGCUCUUACGGGUGGCGAGUGGCGGACGGGUGAGGAAUACAUCGGAAUCUACUUUUUCGUGGGGGAUAACGUAGGGAAACUUACGCUAAUACCGCAUACGACCUACGGGUGAAAGCAGGGGAUCUUCGGACCUUGCGCGAUUGAAUGAGCCGAUGUCGGAUUAGCUAGUUGGCGGGGUAAAGGCCCACCAAGGCGACGAUCCGUAGCUGGUCUGAGAGGAUGAUCAGCCACACUGGAACUGAGACACGGUCCAGACUCCUACGGGAGGCAGCAGUGGGGAAUAUUGGACAAUGGGCGCAAGCCUGAUCCAGCCAUACCGCGUGAGUGAUGAAGGCCUUCGGGUUGUAAAGCCCUUUUGUUGGGAAAGAAAAGCAGCAGGUUAAUACCCCGCUGUUCUGACGGUACCCAAAGAAUAAGCACCGGCUAACUUCGUG